CACUGCUCGCGGUGCGGCAGCCGCGCGCGGACUCCGCUGCGCCUCCGAGGGGGCCAGGCACGCGGUCAAGAUCUGUGGCCACUGGUUCCCAUGGUUUCGAGGCACCAUGAGGCACGCUGGCUCUUGGAAACUUUGGCUCUGGGCAGCACUUCUCCUGCUUCCUGCUUCCACUUCCGUGACGGUUAGGGACAAGCCAGAAAAGCAGUGUCCUGUACUGAGAACAGAGGAGCAUCAGUUUACACAAGACAAUGGAGAUAAACUUGAAGUUUCAGGUUUUGACCUAGGAGAGAGUUUUUCUAUGAGACGUGUGUUUUGUGAAGGUGAUAAAACCUGUUUCAAAUUGGGAAGUUCUCUUCUUAUUAGAGACACCAUUAAGGUAUUUCCCAAAGGCCUUCCUGAGCAUUUCGCGAUGGUGGCCAUGUUUCGGGUACGAAGAAGCACCAAAAAGGAACGGUGGUUUCUGUGGCAGGUUUUAAACCAGCAGAAUAUGCCACAGGUGUCUAUAGUAAUUGAUGGUGGAAAGAAGGUGGUGGAGUUUAUGUUCCGAGCUGCCGAGGGAGAUGUGUUGAACUUCAUUUUUAAAAAUCGAGAACUCCGUUCUUUGUUUGAUCGUCAGUGGCAUAAACUUGGCAUUGGCAUACAAUCCCAGGGCAUUUCACUCUAUAUGGACUGUAACUUAGUUGCAAGCCAGAAUACUGAUGGAAAAGGUGCUUUGGACUUUCGUGGAAGGACAAUUAUUAUGGCUCGAGCUUCAGAUGGCAAGCCUGUGGAUGUUGAACUUCACCAACUUAAAAUCUACUGUGACUUGAACUUCAUAGCUCAAGAAACUUGUUGUGAGAUGUCAGACACUAAGUGCCCAGAGCAGGUUGGCUUUGGAAGUACUGCAUCUUUAUCAGUACCUGCGUAUGCCAGUCGAAUGUCUGCAUUUCUGCCAGCAAAGCAGGAACUAACAGACCAGUGCCAGUGUAUUCCAGAGAAGGGAGAAGCAGGAUUACAGGGAGCUCCAGGCUCACCGGGCCAGAAAGGAGACAAAGGACAGCAGGGUGAAGUUGGUCUUAAAGGUGAAUCAGGCGCUCCUGGAAUUCCUGGUGAAAAGGGUGAAAAUGGUUUACGUGGAGUUCCAGGAUUACCCGGUCAAAAGGGAGAGCAAGGUUUUGAAGGCCUUAAAGGAGAAAUUGGUGAAAAGGGUGAACAAGGAGAAAAAGGAGAUCCAGGUUUGGCUGGCGUUAAUGGCCAAGAUGGUUCGAAAGGCGAUGUGGGUCCUCGUGGUCCACCUGGCCCAAAAGGAGAAAAGGGAGAUAUGGGACCUCCAGGACCACCAGCCUUAACUGUAAGUAUUUUAGAAAUCAAAAUUCAAAUACCUUACCCUGUUUAUUAUUCAUAUUACAUCAUGACUAAACCAGAAUAUAAGCCAUCGGAUAUUUCCAGAAUUAAAAGUGACUUCAGAGUAGAUCUAGGUAAGCCUCCAGAUUUUAAAGAUGGGACAUCUACCCAUGACCGUGAAGGACUUAACCUAAGGUCAUGCAGGGAGUCACUAGAAAAGUCUGGAAGCAGUGCAUAACCUGAGCAAUAUGGUUCAUACCCACCUUAUGGUUCAUAAUUUUGCCCCUUAAAAGUUUGAUUAUACAUUCUUAAUAUGACAUUCAACAUGACAUUUAAAGUUAAUGGAAGCAGGGACAGUUCUACUUACUCCAAAAAUUGUAAAAACUACAAAAUAAACUAUAAUCACCCAAUGUGUAAAAAUAGCUACCUGUUUAAACUGAUUGUUACACUCUCCAAAACCUGUUCAUGACCAUUGUUUUUGCCUAAGAUUUGCUUCUAUGAUUCACAAAUGAUAAGAUGGCAAUAUUUCAGUAACAGAUUUAUGGGAGACGUUCAUAAUGUGCACAUGAUGAGGUUGUUCUCAAUUAAAUGGUUCAUCAUUUAUUAAACAUUUAAUCAUAAAUAUAAAAUGCUUUUAUAUUUAGAUACAAUUUACUGUUAUAGAUUUCUUCAUAGGUCAUUAAGGUUUCUCAUUUAAUUUAAAGAUUUGGUCUGAGAAUGACACUAAACCUAAUGGAAAAGAGGAAAGUCUUUUUGAAAUAAGGUCAUUUGUAGCCUGGGGUCUCUUGAAUUCUAUGUUGAUAUUACCUAAUGACAUAAAUUUAAAAUAUAAAUCAUCAGUUUUCUAAGACCUGUCCUGAUUAUAGAAGGUCAGGUUUUAAAAAGUCUUCUAGCAUCUGGAUUGGGGCGGGGGGGGAGAGAGUCUUCCUUACAGAGCAGUGUAGGACUCACAAAGGGUGUUGUUUUGACAAUGUUUAUAUUUAAUUUUAUACUUUAAAAUGUCACUCUGAACACUAUGUUAAUAAUGUCUUACACAAAUAAUCUUUGUAAUGCUCACUUAAAAGGCAAACAUUUCUUCAUAAAUUGGAAAAUCCUAAGGAGCCAAACAAAUGACUUUCUUAGGAAUAAGCAAAAUCAAUUUACAAUGGAAUGUUGUGCUUGAAGCUUGGAUUUUCAAAAUAAAAAUAAAAACUAUUUAUUGGAGAGGAGAUUUUAACUGCAUAUUAUUCAAUUUUGUAUAAUUUGUGGAGUUUAUUUCUUAAAUUAUCUGGCAGUGAUUUAGAGUUAAACCUGCUCGUUUUAUUUAAAUCACAUGUUGUAUGCUCAAUCACUCCAAGUAGUUAUCAGACUACCUAGUCAUUUUCAACUUGUAUUUGAAGACCAGAAUGCAAUCUAUCUGUAUUAUUUCACCCGAAAAGCAAAUUUCACCCCUCAGCCAGAAAAUUGCAUUGGACUAUAUGUAUUUUGUGGGUUUUUCAUGACAGCUGGACAUCUUCCUGCCAAGUAACAACUUGUAGAUGCCUCUUUGCCCUAUUUAGCUGGCAGAUACCAAAGGAAUACAAGCUAAUUUUUAUACUUACCUAAAGAUAUGAGAGAGAGGCCAAAGUAGGCGAUCAAGAUGGCAGAGUAUGAGGUUGUGGACUUCACCUCCCCUCAAAAACACAUCAACACAUGGAACAAUUCUCACAGAAAACCAACUGGAAACUGGCAGAAGAUCUCUUAUACAACCAAAGCUGCAAGGAAGAUUCUCAUNNNNNNNNNNNNAAAAAAAAAAAAAAAAAAAAAAACCAUUAGGAUGGGACUGGUGCUGGUUGGGAAGACCACUGGGACAUAUAGAGGAGCUCGAGGGUCCUGGACUCUGCCCACAAGGAGUGUAUGCAUGAUGGCUUGGUACCAAUUAGAGCAGAGCUGAUGGCUGUAUCUUGCCACACUUCCCAGCCCCGAAUGCACUCCUAGUGGAGCGGCUAGUGUGCACAGUGGUGAGGUGCUGAAACUUGGACUUUAGUGGACAGACCCUGGGGUAGGAUUUGGUCUAGCUGUGUAGAGACAGCCUGGUGCACCUAGAGUGUAGUCUGGGCCUAACCUCAGGACUCAUUGUUAGCACACACAUGGCUAGUGAGGGUGUGGGCAUCUACCAUAGGAGCCACAUCAUCAGUAUGUUCAUGGCAGGGCAUGGUUCAAGCAGCAGCAGUGGAAUUUGUGAGUGCACAUACUGCAAGGGUAGGGCUGACACCUGAGCCCAUUAUCAGUACUUCCACAGUGGGGGCACAUGGGGAGUGGCUGGGGUCUGGCAGCAGGAGAUUUUGUUGACUUGAAUAUCAGCAGGAAGCAUCUACAGAACCACACAUCUCUAGUGCUACUUCUCCUGGGGAGGAGUAUCAGUAGUUCCUUUCCCAGCAAGAGCACACCAGUUCUGCCCACCUCACACUACAGCCCAGAAAUGGAUCUGGAGACUUCUAUCCCAACAACUGGGAAGCAGACCCUGUCCCUGACAAGGCUUUGACAGCCAUGGAACAAAGAGGAGGGCCCGCUCAACAUCCAGAGCAGGGUCUGGUUACCAUAACACCAGUGACAUUCUCCAUCAAGGGGAUAACAGCCAGCACACUCUGAGAGAUGUGGCAGGCAUCCAUACCAAAAACAGCUCUCCCACUAAAAAUAUUGGACUCACAUAGUCUGCAUAGAGGUGUGUCCACAUAAAAACAGCCCUUCAGGACCACAAUAGUUAACUGUUUAAUCCUAAAUUCAUAGAAACAGAGAAUUUUAAGUAAAAUGAAAAGGCAGAUGAAGUACUUUCAAUUAAAAGAACAAGAGAAAUCUUCUGAAAGAAUAAUCAAUGAAACAGACCUCACCAGUCUACUAGACCCUGAGUUCAGAAAGGAGGUAAUAAAAAUGCUAAAGGAACUAAGAAAUAUUUACUGACAUAAAUUCAGAUCACUGUAUACGGAAUUUGAAAUUUUAAAUAGGAACCAAUAAAAAUUAGACAACUCAAUUGCUGAGAUAAAAGCCAAGCUAAAAGCAGACUAAAUAAUGCAUAAAAAACAAAUACGUGAUCUAGAUUAUAAGAAUAAUGGAAAUCAAUCAAUCAUACCAGCAAACAGAACGACAAAUUUAAAAAAUGAAAGCAACAUAUGAGAUCUAUGAGAUAAUGUAAAGCAUGCCAACCUAUGAAUAAUAGGGAUCCCAGAAGGAGAAGAGAGAAGGGGAUCCAAAAUAUAUUUGAAGAAAUGGGUGGAAACUUCCCAAACCUAAACAAGGAAAUAGAUAUCCAGGAACAAGAAGCCCAGAGGGCCCCAAAAAGAUGAACCCAAACAAACCCACACCAAGACAUAUCACAAUUAAAAUGACAAAAGUUAAGGAUAUAGAGAGGAUUCUAAAGACAACAAAAGAAAAACAAAGAGUAAGUUAAAAGGAAGCCCCACCCGCAAUAGACUAUCAGGUGAUUUAUCUACAGAAAUGUUGCAGGCCAGAAGGGAGUGGCACCAUAUAUUCAAAGUCCUGAAAGGGAAAAAAGUGUGCAACUUGGGAUACCCUACCCAGCAAGAUUAUCAUUAGAAUAGGACAAAGAAUUUCUUAGACAAGCAAAAACUAAAAGAAUACAGCAAUACUAAACCUAACAUAAAAGAAAUAUUAAAGGGUAUUCUCUAAUUCAAAAAGAAACAAGAAUCUAUAGGAAAGGAAAAAACACAAUAGGAAAGGCAAAUAUAUUUAAAAAAUUGAAAAUCAAUAAGCCAGUAACAAAUCAAAAAUAACUUUAAAAAUUUGUAAAAGCAAUUGUAACUACAAUUAAUAGCAAAAGAAUAAACAUGAAGGUGUAAAAUAGGACACCAAAAUCACAAAAUGUGGGAAAGAGGAGUAAAAAAUUGUAUAUUUUUAAGAAUGUGUCUGAACGUAUAUGACUAUCAGUCUAAAGCAAGUAGAUUUAGUUCUGGGCUAACAUACUUGAAAACCAGGGUAACCGAAAACCAAAAACGUACUAUAGAUUCAUAACAACCAAAAAGAAAUGAACUCAAGCAUAAUACAAUAGAAAAACAUCAAACCA
rnacentral:lncRNA from 1 species